rnacentral:rRNA from 1 species
GGUUAAGCUACUAAGAGCACACGGUGGAUGCCUAGGCGCUAGGAGCCGAUGAAGGACGUGGCGAACAACGAUAAAGCCUCGGGGAGCUGUAAGCAAGCUGUGAUCCGGGGAUGUCCGAAUGGGGAAACCUAACUGGAUUCAUCUCCAGUUACUCACACCUGAAUACAUAGGGUGUGCAGAGGCAGACGAGGGGAACUGAAACAUCUAAGUACCCUCAGGAACAGAAAACAAGAGUGAUUCCGUCAGUAGCGGCGAGCGAACGCGGAACAGCCCAAACCAAUGAGCUUGCUUGUUGGGGUUGUGGGACGUCUCUUUGGAGUUACAAAGGAAGAUGGUAGGCGAAGAGGUCUGGAAAGGCCCGCAAGACAAGGUGAAAGCCCUGUAGCUAAAAUCAUCUUCUCUCCGAGACGGAUCCCGAGUAGUGCGGGGCACGUGAAACCCCGUAUGAAUCUGCCAGGACCAUCUGGUAAGGCUAAAUACUCCCUAGCGACCGAUAGUGAAGCAGUACCGUGAGGGAAAGGUGAAAAGGACCCCGGAAGGGGAGUGAAAUAGAACCUGAAACCGUGUGCUUACAAAAAGUCAGAGCCCUAUUACUGGGUGAUGGCGUGCCUUUUGUAGAAUGAACCGGCGAGUUACGUUCCCGUGCAAGGUUAAGGUGAAAAGCCGGAGCCGCAGCGAAAGCGAGUCUGAAUAGGGCGACUGAGUACGUGGACGUAGACCCGAAACCAGGUGAUCUACCCCUGUCCAGGGUGAAGGUACGGUAACACGUACUGGAGGCCCGAACCCACGCACGUUGAAAAGUGCGGGGAUGAGGUGGGGGUAGCGGAGAAAUUCCAAUCGAACCUGGAGAUAGCUGGUUCUCCCCGAAAUAGCUUUAGGGCUAGCCUCGGAAGUUGAGUCGUGGAGGUAGAGCACUGAUUGGAUGCGGGGCCCGCAAGGGUUACCAAGUUCAGUCAAACUCCGAAUGCCACAGACUUUAUUCCGGGAGUCAGACAGUGAGUGCUAAGAUCCAUUGUCGAAAGGGAAACAGCCCAGACCAUCAGCUAAGGUCCCCAAGUGUGUGUUAAGUGGGAAAGGAUGUGAAGUUGCACAGACAACCAGGAUGUUGGCUUAGAAGCAGCCACCAUUGAAAGAGUGCGUAAUAGCUCACUGGUCGAGUGACUUUGCGCCGAAAAUGUAACGGGGCUAAACACACCACCGAAGCUAUGGCUUGAUACUUUGUAUCAGGGGUAGGGGAGCGUUGAAUGAAGAUUGAAGGUGUACCGCAAGGAGCGCUGGACCUCAUUCAAGUGAGAAUGCCGGUAUGAGUAACGAAAAGAUCAGUGAGAAUCUGAUCCGCCGAAAACCCAAGGAUUCCUGAGGAAGGCUCGUCCUCUCAGGGUAAGUCGGGACCUAAGGCGAGGCCGAAAGGCGUAGUCGACGGACAACAGGUUGAAAUUCCUGUACCACCGAAAGCCGUUAUGAGCAAUGGGAUGACGCAGGAGGAUAGUGACGCGGACUGAUGGAUGUCCGUUCAAGCAGUGAGGCUGGUAUGUAGGCAAAUCCGCAUACCCCAAGGCCAGGCUGUGAUGAGGAGCGAAAAUUACAGUAGCGAAGGUCAUGAUUUCACACUGCCAAGAAAAGUCUCUAGCCAGGAAGCAGGUGCCCGUACCGUAAACCGACACAGGUGGGUGAGAAGAGAAUUCUAAGGCGCGCGGAAGAACUCUCGUUAAGGAACUCGGCAAAAUGACCCCGUAACUUCGGGAGAAGGGGUGCCCCGGUAGUGUGAAUAGCACGAGGGGGCCGCAGUGAAAAGGCCCAAGCGACUGUUUAGCAAAAACACAGGUCUGUGCGAAGCCGCAAGGCGAAGUAUACGGGCUGACGCCUGCCCGGUGCUGGAAGGUUAAGGGGAGUGGUUAGCGCAAGCGAAGCUAUGAACCGAAGCCCCAGUAAACGGCGGCCGUAACUAUAACGGUCCUAAGGUAGCGAAAUUCCUUGUCAGGUAAAUUCUGACCCGCACGAAUGGCGUAACGAUUUGGGCGCUGUCUCAACGAGAGAUCCGGUGAAAUUUUAAUACCUGUGAAGAUGCAGGUUACCCGCGACAAGACGGAAAGACCCCAUGGAGCUUUACUGCAACUUGAUAUUGAACUGGGGUGCGAUUUGUACAGGAUAGGUGGGAGCCGUAGACAUCGGAGCGCAAGCUUCGGUUGAGGCGCCGUUGGGAUACCACCCUGAUCGCAUUUGAGUUCUAACCUCGUACCGUGAUCCGGUACAGGGACCGUGUCAGGUGGGCAGUUUGACUGGGGCGGUCGCCUCCUAAAGUGUAACGGAGGCGCCCUAAGGUUCCCUCAGAAUGGUUGGAAAUCAUUCGAAGAGUGUAAAGGCAUAAGGGAGCUUGACUGCGAGACAGACACGUCGAGCAGGGACGAAAGUCGGGCUUAGUGAUCCGGUGGUACCGCAUGGAAGGGCCAUCGCUCAACGGAUAAAAGCUACCCUGGGGAUAACAGGCUUAUCUCCCCCAAGAGUCCACAUCGACGGGGAGGUUUGGCACCUCGAUGUCGGCUCAUCGCAUCCUGGGGCUGAAGUAGGUCCCAAGGGUUGGGCUGUUCGCCCAUUAAAGCGGUACGCGAGCUGGGUUCAGAACGUCGUGAGACAGUUCGGUCCCUAUCUGUCGUGGGCGUAGGAAAUUUGAGAGGAGCUGUCCUUAGUACGAGAGGACCGGGAUGGACGCACCGCUGGUGUACCAGUUGUUCCGCCAGGAGCAUCGCUGGGUAGCUACGUGCGGAAGGGAUAAGCGCUGAAAGCAUCUAAGCGUGAAGCCCCCCUCAAGAUGAGAUUUCCCAGUAUGUAAGACCCCUUGUAGACGACGAGGUUGAUAGGUUGGGGGUGGAAGUGCCGCAAGGCAUGGAGCUGACCAAUACUAAUCGGUCGAGGGCUUAUCCAA